rnacentral:rRNA from 1 species
ACGUAGGGACCAAGCGUUGUUCGGAUUUACUGGGCGUAAAGGGCGCGUAGGCGGCGCGGUAAGUCACUUGUGAAAUCUCUGAGCUUAACUCAGAACGGCCAAGUGAUACUGCAGUGCUAGAGUGUGGAAGGGGCAAUCGGAAUUCUUGGUGUAGCGGUGAAAUGCGUAGAUAUCAAGAGGAACACCUGAGGUGAAGACGGGUUGCUGGGCCAACACUGACGCUGAGGCGCGAAAGCCAGGGGAGCAAACGGGAUUAGAUACCCCGGUAGUCCUGGCCCUAAACGAUGAAUACUUGGUGUCUGGAGUAAUUUGUGCUCCGGGUGCCGUCGCUAACGUUUUUAGUAUUCCGCCUGGGGAGUACGCUCGCAAGAGUG